rnacentral:rRNA from 1 species
UACGUAGGGGGCUAGCGUUGUCCGGAAUCAUUGGGCGUAAAGAGCGUGUAGGCGGUCCGGUAAGUCCGCUGUGAAAGUCGGGGGCUCAACCCUCGAAUGCCGGUGGAUACUGUCGGGCUAGAGUGCGGAAGAGGCGAGUGGAAUUCCUGGUGUAGCGGUGGAAUGCGCAGAUAUCAGGAGGAACACCGAUGGCGAAGGCAGGUCUCUGGGCCGCAACUGACGCUGAGGAGCGAAAGCAUGGGGAGCGAACAGG